AUUGAACGCUGGCGGAAUGCUUUACACAUGCAAGUCGAACGGCAGCACGGACUUCGGUCUGGUGGCGAGUGGCGAACGGGUGAGUAAUGUAUCGGAACGUGCCCAGUCGUGGGGGAUAACGUAGUGAAAAUUACGCUAAUACCGCAUACGAUCUAUGGAUGAAAGCGGGGGAUCGCAAGACCUCGCGCGAUUGGAGCGGCCGAUAACAGAUUAGGUAGUUGGUGGGGUAAGGGCCCACCAAGCCAACGAUCUGUAGCUGGUCUGAGAGGACGAACAGACAGACUGGAGCUGAGACACGGUCCAGCCUCCUACGGGAGGCAGCAGUGGGGAAUUUUGGACAAUGGGCGAGAGCCUGAUCCAGCCAUUCCGCGUGCAGGAUGAAGGCCCUCGGGUUGUAAACUGCUUUUGUACAGAACGAAAAGGUUUCUACUAAUACUAGGAGCUCAUGACGGUACUGUAAGAAUAAGCACCGGCUAACUACGUGCCAGCCGCCGCGGUAA
rnacentral:rRNA from 1 species